ACGAACGCUGGCGGCGUGCUUAACACAUGCAAGUCGAACGGUGAAGGGAUCAGCUUGCUGGUUCUGGAUGAGUGGCGAACGGGUGAGUAACACGUGAGUAACCUGCCCCCUUCUUCUGGAUAACCGCAUGAAAGUGUGGCUAAUACGGGAUAUUCUGCGCCUGCUGCAUGGUGGGUGUGGGAAAGAUAUUGUUUCGGUGGGGGAUGGGCUCGCGGCCUAUCAGCUUGUUGGUGGGGUGAUGGCCUACCAAGGCGGUGACGGGUAGCCGGCCUGAGAGGGUGGACAGUCACACUGGGACUGAGACACGGCCCAGACUCCUACGGGAGGCAGCAGUGGUGAAUAUUGCACAAUGGGCGCAAGCCUGAUGCAGCGACGCCGCGUGAGGGAUGGAGGCCUUCGGGUUGUGAACCUCUUUCGCCAGUGAAGCAGGCCUGUCCCUUGUGGGUGGGUUGACGGUAGCUGGAUAAGAAGCGCCGGCUAACUACGUG
rnacentral:rRNA from 1 species